AAGUUCUUUAAUGAUCACAGCUUUUUGUCCUUCAGCUGCUCCUGUAACUUUGAUCUUGCACUUUGAUCCAUGUUGAUUGAAUGUGGUUUUGUCUCCUUAGUAUUGGUGCUUGUGGUGUUGUGUCUGCAUGUUUCUUUGUCAGAGGCUCAUUUGUGUCUGCAUUGGUUCCUUUCAGCUUCUUUCUUUGUCUUGGAAGCUCCUUUUUUGCUUCCUGACAUCUUUGAGCUGCUUGACUUUGUCACACAGCUUGUGUUUAAGGGCCUUCGUGAUUGAGCAGCUCUGCAGUAAUCAGGCCUGAGUGUGGCAGUGAGACUGAAGUCAGCUUUCCAACAAUCUGCUUCAUCACAGUUCAUUGAUCAUUGAAGACGAGGGGAAAUGAGUUUUUCCCACAGGGCAGAAGUUGUUGCUGUUGCAGCCCAGGUGGUUUCUGAGUGCAGCGGGGUCACCGCGCAGCAACAAACCACAGCAGAGCAGGAAGAAGGGGGCGGAGGAAGAUGUGGUUGCGUGGUCGGAGAGCAGAGAGAGCUGCUUUUUCCUGGAGGAAGAGAAGUGAAUUUAGAGGAGCAACAAACUAAUGCAUCGAUCCAACAUCACUACCAACUAUUGAUACUUGGAUCGAUCCGCGCACCCUGAUCUCCUGGAUCUGACCUGAGAACAGCGUUAAGCUCUGUCUGUGGGCUCAGCUAAAGCUGAUCAUCAGGAGGAGGAGAGUCUGACGGAGCAGCAGAGGAACAUUUUCAGCCUCUACAGAGGAAACAAUGAGUUCAACACAACAGGUGAGAAAAAUCUCAGUGUUACAUGUUGGAAUAUUCAUAGUAUAUGCCACCUAUAUAUCUUAUGUACUUUUACUUCCCUGAGAAA